rnacentral:misc_RNA from 1 species
UUUCCGUAGGUGAACCUGCGGAAGGAUCAUUAAUGAGUUGUCAUGGGGUUCGAUGCUGGCAGCCAAUUUUUGGAUGCAUGUGCUUGCCCUAACAAUCAUCUUCCAAACACCUGUGCACAUUUUUGAGGGAGUCUUGAGUUGGUUGCCGCUCUUGGGUGAUUUUCUCACAUUCCCUUAAAUCAUUAUACGCUAUUGACAAUGUUGAACGUGCUCUGUGCCGCAAGGCCAUUAAUAUAAUACAACUUUUAACAACGGAUCUCUUGGCUCUC